rnacentral:rRNA from 1 species
UACGUAGGGGGCAAGCGUUGUCCGGAAUCAUUGGGCGUAAAGAGCGCGUAGGCGGCCCUGUAAGUCCGCUGUGAAAGUCAAGGGCUCAACCCUUGGAUGCCGGUGGAUACUGCAGGGCUAGAGUCCGGAAGAGGCGAGUGGAAUUCCUGGUGUAGCGGUGAAAUGCGCAGAUAUCAGGAGGAACACCGAUGGCGAAGGCAGCUCGCUGGGACGGUACUGACGCUGAGGCGCGAAAGCUAGGGGAGCGAACGGG